UAAUUCUGUAAAAAGUUAUAAAAUGAAUAUUGUACAAAAAUAAAGUUUGCCCAGAGCUUUGGUUCUGUAACACACAACAAGUGAGACGACAUGACAGUUUGUUUUUUCUUUUCCACAGAGGUGAUAGCGGAGUGAUAACAAAUGUAGUCCUUUUCAUCUUUACACUUUUGCAUCAAAACCGGGGUACUAAUCACCGAUGAGACGAGUGCUGCAGUUCACACUCUUUAAUGUAUGGUGUGGAAGAGUAGCGAGGUGCUCUGGAGGCUUCUGGGAAGCCUCCACAUUCCCAUCUGGGAAGGCUUAUGCACGAAUCAGUUGUUAAAGGGGAAGAUGAUCCAACUGAUGAGGUAUGCUGUGAUAAAAGCUAGACUUUUUUUCCCUGUCUGUGUAGUAUUUGGCCUAAAUUCAGCUUGAUGCAUUGGAUUUGUUCUGUGUGGGGGGAUUACACAGUAAAGCUGGCCUGCUUGCUGAUGGGUGGGCACAGAUACCUUGGUCCCUAAUCCGUGUUAACAUCAAGACCUACUCGAGGGCUCUCUUUGUUCCACUUAAAACUACCCCCUUAACAGGGCACACAAACGCGCUUUUUAAAGAGUCUCCUUUCCUUAAUGUAUAUUUCUUCCUAAACUUUGGGGACAGGUGGCUGGACGGGUACACCGAAAAGCCCACUGAGCCUACCAAUCAUUUACUCAGUAAUUCCAAAACAUACUCCUUUGUUGAGUCCUUUGAGAUAUUCAUAUCAGUUGUGUGAUGACAUCCACUACAGCAGCUAGAUCUUCCUUAAACUGCCUUUGCCGGUGGGGAUAUUUGGUUAAGACUCAUGUUAGAGGAUCACUUUCAAAUCCCCUUUGAGGAUAAAAAAAAAAAAAAGACCUGUCUGUCACAGCUCAGACAGAAACACGGCCAGCCCCGUGAACUUUAAGCCUACUGGGACGGUUAUCGCUGCAAAGCCUUUUGCUCAGAUUUGGUGCGAGGCCAGGGCGAGGUUUCAGGUAACGCGUGCUGACAGGCAGAAAUAGCAGCUUCUGUACUGUGUGACUCAAAGGAUGGAUCGUCAAAGGCACCUGCAGAUCCUUGCGAGACCACACCGCUCUCGUGUCGACUGCAGAUUGAAAUUAAAAGUCAUUAUGGCUUAUGGCUGGAGUGACGCCGAGUCUGUCCUGGAUUGUUGAUUUUAAAAAAACAACACACACACACUUUAUAAACAAACAGCAGCAAAGAAUUAUUUGCUUCCGCGUAAACAUAGUGUUCUUAAAGGAUGCUUUGAAUGGGAGGCUGUACCCGGGUGACGUUUUCUCCCUGUCUUAGUGUGGUCACAUUAGCGAUAACGAGGUGAACUACUCAAAAUGCAACAACAGAUCAGCUCUAUUUAAAAAAAAGAAAUCUUCUAUUGGUCCCCUCCUCUGCUUCUCUAUCUUUCCUUAACGGCUAACAAUGAUCAUUUG
ensembl:lncRNA